CAUAAGCCGGGAUCCCGUAAGUGUCCCUCCAGACCCCGCCAGGUUGCCGAUGGAUAUCCAACUCUUCAAGUGAACAUCACUGGAAGUCCAGAGUAAGGAAAGUUUCAACGAUCUCUUCGUGGACAUAAUGACGCCUCUACGUUUCGCUGUUGUCUUCGUCCUCCUCUUUGGUGUAUUUGUCGCCAGUGAAGCUGCACCUGAAGGACACGAGCUUGAACGUCGUGACGUUGACAUGGAGGUCUGCCCUUGUGUUCCGGGUAUUACAUGCCCUAAUAACGUCCUUUGCACAAAGUACAGCGAGUGUAAGACAUGCUUCCUUCUCGGUGGAUGAAAAACAUGGCUGACCGGCAACCCUUAACAACGAAACGAUCAAUUGCACGUAUAUGAAAUAAGAGUCCAUGGCAUUCUCUUUCACCAACAUAAUCAUGGGUGGGGGGAACUUUUGAGGGCAAUAAAUUGUACUAAGCAGCA